UACGAAGGGGGCUAGCGUUGCUCGGAAUUACUGGGCGUAAAGCGCACGUAGGCGGAUUGUUAAGUCAGGGGUGAAAUCCCGGGGCUCAACCCCGGAACUGCCUUUGAUACUGGCAUUCUCGAGUCCGGAAGAGGUGAGUGGAAUUCCGAGUGUAGAGGUGAAAUUCGUAGAUAUUCGGAGGAACACCAGUGGCGAAGGCGGCUCACUGGUCCGGUACUGACGCUGAGGUGCGAAAGCGUGGGGAGCAAACAGG
rnacentral:rRNA from 1 species